rnacentral:misc_RNA from 1 species
UACGUGAGCCCCAAGCGUUACCCGGAAUCAUUGGGCGUAAAGGGUCCGUAGGGGGACUUGUUAGUCCUGUGUUAAAUAUCGUGGCUCAACCACGGUGCUGCGCGGGAAACGGCAGGUCUAGAGGGCGUGAGAGGCCGAUAGAACGCACGGUGUAGGGGUGAAAUCCGUUGAUAUCGUGCGGAAUACCAAAGGCGAAGGCAAUCGGCUGGCGCGACCCUGACCCUCAGGGACGAAAGCUAGGGUAGCGAACGGG